rnacentral:rRNA from 1 species
GACGAACGCUGGCGGCGUGCUUAACACAUGCAAGUCGAACGGAAAGGCCCUGCUUUUGUGGGGUGCUCGAGUGGCGAACGGGUGAGGAACACGUGAGUAACCUGCCCUUGACUUUGGGAUAACUUCAGGAAACUGGGGCUAAGACCGGAUAGGAGCGCCUGCUGCAUGGUGGGGGUUGGAAAGUUGCGGCGGUUGGGGAUGGACUCGGGGCUUAUCUGCGUGUUGGUGGGGGAGUGGCUUACGAAGGCUUUGACGGGUAGCCGGCCGGAGAGGGUGACCGGCCCCAUUGGGACUGAGCUACGGCCCAGAGUCCUACGGGAUGCAGCAGUAGGGAAUUUUGCCCAAUCGGCCGAAGCCUGAUGCAGCAACGCCGCGUUCGGGAUGACGGCCUUCGGUUUGUAAACCGCUUUCGCCUGUGACGAAGCGUGAGUGCCGGUACUGGGUAAAGAAGCACCGGCUAACUCCGUG